AAGACAUGUCAAUCUGCUCAUGUAAAUCUUCCACUCAGUAACCUUUUGUGUGCAGCAUUUAUUGAGGCUGAUGGCAAAAAUUGAAACCAACAUCAUGGUAUUCUGAAGACCAGAGAUAUGAAUCUCCCUCAUUUGACAUCCUACUGGGCCUGAAUCUGUUUCACUGCUAAAGCUCUGCUGCCAAACCUAUACAAGCUGCCUCCCUCUAGGCCCAGGGGCUAUCAUGGAAGAGAUUGCCGGAGGCCAGAAAGUAAGACAAAUAACAGCUCACCUGCCUGGCUUGUUGGAGCAACAAGAAACUUUAAGAGCAAUCCUCCAUUUGCCAGGUUCCUUGGUAAUUAGACUUGUCAAUAGAACAGAUUUCUGUGUCCAUAAUGCAUAAGGUUAAGUAAGGUAUGUCGGUAUGUUGAGUAAGAUCACCACUCAAAUGAGGAGAAUGAUUGUUACAAGGUACAACAUAUAAUGAACAAAGUGGGAAAUUAAGAAAUUCUUAAUUUGUACAUUCUGGCCCAGGAAAAAGAAAUGCUGAGAUUAUCUUGGAUUGUGUUUAGAUAACUGUUUUGUAUUUCAAAGUACUUUCAGAAUCAUCUCAUUUUAGCUUUACAAUCUAGAAAUUUUUAUACAUAUUAUUUUCUAUUUGAGAAUACUGACAAAUUUCGCUUAAACAAACUUUAGCCUGACUCCUGAAGCUCCUCCUGUAUCUAUGUGUGCACUUCCUUGUAAAAUCCAGUUUCAGCAAGA
rnacentral:lncRNA from 1 species